CAGCAGCCACGGUAACACAGAGGGUGCAAGCGUUAAUCGGAAUUACUGGGCGUAAAGCGCGCGUAGGUGGUUUGUUAAGUUGGAUGUGAAAGCCCCGGGCUCAACCUGGGAACUGCAUCCAAAACUGGCAAGCUAGAGUACGGUAGAGGGUGGUGGAAUUUCCUGUGUAGCGGUGAAAUGCGUAGAUAUAGGAAGGAACACCAGUGGCGAAGGCGACCACCUGGACUGAUACUGACACUGAGGUGCGAAAGCGUGGGGAGCAAACAGGAUUAGAUACCCCCGUAGUCCCUGUCUCUUAUAC
rnacentral:rRNA from 1 species